rnacentral:sRNA from 1 species
GCCGAGCCAGGAGCUUUAUUUAGCUGCUCUGAAAUCCCGCAGACCUGGACAGUACUCGUGAGCUGGUGUCCUUUCUGUGGAAGAGGACAAAAGCUCGUGAGCAGGCUCUGCCCCUCCGGGAAGACGGCCA